GGGUAAGGUCUUUGUAUGCGCUGCCCUUCUCUUACCUCAAUUAUGAGAUUUACUGUUUAUGUUGUUUUACGUCUUAACUCAUUGUACGAUAGUUGUUAAGAAUCUCACAAUAGAUCCUUGCUUAUAUCUUGAAAUUGAUACGAGUUUAGUUAUUUUCCGUUAGGUCGACUCUUCAUCGAUAAAACUAUUGUCUUAGAUUGUGUAAACC
rnacentral:misc_RNA from 1 species